rnacentral:siRNA from 1 species
AGAUCCGCCUAGCCUAACCCACCU